rnacentral:rRNA from 1 species
GAGUUUGAUCCUGGCUCAGGAUAAACGCUGGCGGCGUGCCUAAUACAUGCAAGUCGAUCGCUGGAAUUCCAGCUUGCUGGAAUGAAGGAGAGGCGAACGGGUGAGUAAUACAUAAGCAACCUGCCCACGAAGACUGGGAUAAUUCCUGGAAACGGGGACUAAUACCGGAUAGGUAGUGUGAUCGCAUGAUCGCACUAUUAAAGGUUCAAGACACUGGUGGAUGGGCUUAUGGCGCAUUAGCUGGUUGGUGAGGUAACGGCCCACCAAGGCGAUGAUGCGUAGCCGGCCUGAGAGGGUGAACGGCCACAUUGGGACUGAGACACGGCCCAGACUCCUACGGGAGGCAGCAGUAGGGAAUUUUCGGCAAUGGGCGCAAGCCUGACCGAGCAACGCCGCGUGAGUGAAGACGGCCUUCGGGUUGUAAAGCUCUGUUGUAAGGGAAGAAUUGGCAUGAGAGAAUCGUGCAGUGACGGUACCUUACCAGAAAGCCACGGCUAACUACGUGCCAGCAGCCGCGGUAAUACGUAGGUGGCGAGCGUUAUCCGGAAUUAUUGGGCGUAAAGGGUGCGUAGGCGGCCUGUUAAGUUUAAGGUUAAAGCGUGGGGCUCAACCCCAUCACGCCUUAGAUACUGGCAGGCUAGAGUACUGGAGAGGGAAGUGGAAUUCCAUGUGUAGCGGUAAAAUGCGUAGAUAUAUGGAGGAACACCAGAGGCGAAGGCGGCUUCCUAGACAGAGACUGACGCUCAGGCACGAAAGCGUGGGGAGCAAAUAGGAUUAGAUACCCUAGUAGUCCACGCCGUAAACGAUGAAUGCUAGGUAUCGGGGCAACCCGGUGCCGCAACUAACGCGAUAAGCAUUCCGCCUGUGGAGUAUGCACGCAAGUGUGAAACAUAAAGGAAUUGACGGGGGCCCGC